rnacentral:rRNA from 1 species
UACGGGGGGGGCAAGCGUUGUUCGGAAUUACUGGGCGUAAAGGGCUCGUAGGUGGCCAACUAAGUCGGACGUGAAAUCCCUCGGCUUAACCGGGGAACUGCGUCCGAUACUGGUUGGCUUGAGUUUGGGAGAGGGAUGCGGAAUUCCAGGUGUAGCGGUGAAAUGCGUAGAUAUCCGGAGGAACACCGGUGGCGAAGGCGGCUUCCUGGACCGACACUGACGCUGAGGCGCGAAAGCUAGGGGAGCAAACGGG